AGAGAGAGAUUUAGCCUAUUUUCACCUUCUUUCCCUCCUCUCUCUCUCUAGGCCGAUCGUGAGCACGGUUGAGGACUUCGUCGCCGACGUCGCGCCGCGAGCCGUUCGAGCGCACGUGUUGCCGGGGCGCUGCGAGGAGGCCGGGCGAGGGUGCGUCUUCGCCGUUCCUGUCGCCGCACCGCAGUUCAUCGCUGUUGAGAAUUCCAGCGUCAACCAUUGGUGUUUCAGGUCGUUCUCUGUGUAGGAGUGUCGAAACGCGACGAAAUUUGGCGUGCUAGAUUCGCGACUUCGAGACGAAGAUUCUGAGCCCAAGAUCGCGAUUUUUGGAGCAGGUUCCAGCGUCGACCAUUGGUGUUUCGGCUCGUUCUCCGCGUAGGAGCGUCGGAUCGCGACGAGACUUGGUUCAUUGGAUUCGGGACUU